rnacentral:tRNA from 1 species
GGAUUGUGGUUUAGUGGCAGAGCACUCGCCUAGCACGUGCAAGGCCCUGGGUUCAAUCCUCAGCACCA